rnacentral:rRNA from 1 species
AGCGAACGCUGGCGGCAGGCUUAACACAUGCAAGUCGAGCGGGCACUUCGGUGUCAGCGGCAGACGGGUGAGUAACACGUGGGAACGUACCCUUCGGUUCGGAAUAACGCUGGGAAACUAGCGCUAAUACCGGAUACGCCCUUUUGGGGAAAGGUUUACUGCCGAAGGAUCGGCCCGCGUCUGAUUAGCUAGUUGGUGGGGUAAUGGCCUACCAAGGCGACGAUCAGUAGCUGGUCUGAGAGGAUGAUCAGCCACACUGGGACUGAGACACGGCCCAGACUCCUACGGGAGGCAGCAGUGGGGAAUAUUGGACAAUGGGCGCAAGCCUGAUCCAGCCAUGCCGCGUGAGUGAUGAAGGCCUUAGGGUUGUAAAGCUCUUUUGUCCGGGACGAUAAUGACGGUACCGAAAGAAUAAGCCCCGGCUAACUUCGUG